rnacentral:lncRNA from 1 species
GUAAUGAGCACUGGCUCCACGCACGCACCGACGCCAUAGCUCCCGGAUGCAGUGGCUCCCUUAUCUGGGCUUUCGCAGCGCCACAAGCCCCUUCGGGAUGCUUCGAGGGGCUCCUGGUGGGUGGUGGUACAAAUGCUGCCGCCGCCGCCGCCGGCGGUCCUGCUGCUGUUGUUGCUGCUGCAGUCACGUGGGAGCCCCUUUAAGUUUCCAUAGAGAGGCCUCUCCGGUGUCACAUGAUGGACAUGAUAUAAUGAAACAACAUUGUGGAGAGGAAAGCAUUAGGGGAGCCCACGGCUACAAAACAAGUGAGAAGAGGUGGGAGAAAGAGAAACUACGCCACCUCCUCUGCAGCCGAGCGCACGCAGCAGCCUGGCGUGACAAGUGGGCGACGCCAGGGACAGAGAGUGGGGGUCCUCCGCCCGCUCCGGGGACCCUGUCGCCCACCGUGGUGCGCUGAGCAACUUUUAGCCGGCAGCCCCGCACCUGUCUCAGAGUCCCCAUCGCUCCCCACCAACCAUCAUGGGAAAAUUCUAGAAGAAUACGCUCUCGGAAUCUACGUGCGCAUCAUUUUCCUCCUCACUCCAGAGGAAGGAACCAGAAAAGAGAGCAAAGCGGUGUAGUGUUCAGCCUCAAGGUAAGUUCUUUAGGGUGGGGAAAACGGGUCCAGCAGGACUUGGGGACAGGAUUUGGUGCUCAACUCCCACCUUGGGGGUGGAAAAAGCGUCCCCGCACUCUCGGUGAGGCAGAUGGGUUGGCGCGUCAUCUGUGCUAUUUUCCCGGUGGACUCUCUUGACGUCCACCCUCGCAGUCCCCGGGGCCCCCUUACGGUCCCCCACAAGGGGCCUGAGGCAGCGGGCCAGGAUGCUCGGCGGGUGAGCGAAGGAAGGUAGGGUUGCUGCGUGAAACGGGCAUGUCGGAGCUAUUUC